UUAAAUUGAAGAGUUUGAUCAUGGCUCAGAUUGAACGCUGGCGGCAGGCCUAACACAUGCAAGUCGGACGGUAGCACAGAGAGCUUGCUCUCGGGUGACGAGUGGCGGACGGGUGAGUAAUGUCUGGGAAACUGCCUGAUGGAGGGGGAUAACUACUGGAAACGGUAGCUAAUACCGCAUAACGUCGCAAGACCAAAGAGGGGGACCUUCGGGCCUCUUGCCAUCAGAUGUGCCCAGAUGGGAUUAGCUAGUAGGCGGGGUAACGGCCCACCAAGGCGACGAUCCCUAGCUGGUCUGAGAGGAUGACCAGCCACACUGGAACUGAGACACGGUCCAGACUCCUACGGGAGGCAGCAGUGGGGAAUAUUGCACAAUGGGCGCAAGCCUGAUGCAGCCAUGCCGCGUGUGUGAAGAAGGCCUUCGGGUUGUAAAGCACUUUCAGCGGGGAGGAAGGCAGUGCGGUUAAUAACCGUGCUGAUUGACGUUACCCGCAGAAGAAGCACCGGCUAACUCCGUGCCAGCAGCCGCGGUAAUACGGAGGGUGCAAGCGUUAAUCGGAAUUACUGGGCGUAAAGCGCACGCAGGCGGUCUGUCAAGUCGGAUGUGAAAUCCCCG
rnacentral:rRNA from 1 species